GGCCCGUUAGCUCAGCUGGUUAGAGCGUCGUGCUAAUAACGCGAAGGUCGCGGGUUCGAUCCCCCCACGGGCCA
rnacentral:tRNA from 1 species